UACGGAGGGUGCAAGCGUUAUCCGGAUUCACUGGGUUUAAAGGGUGCGUAGGCGGCUAUUUAAGUCAGUGGUGAAAGCCCGCAGCUUAACUGCGGAACUGCCAUUGAUACUGGGUAGCUGGAGUGUAAUUGAAGUGGGCGGAAUGCAUCAUGUAGCGGUGAAAUGCUUAGAUAUGAUGCAGAACUCCGAUUGCGAAGGCAGCUCACUAAAUUAUAACUGACGCUGAGGCACGAAAGCGUGGGUAGCAAACAGG
rnacentral:rRNA from 1 species